GACAGAGGGUGCAAACGUUGUUCGGAAUUACUGGGCGUAAAGCGCGUGUAGGCGGCUUGGCAAGUCGGGUGUGAAAGCCCUGGGCUUAACCUAGGAAGUGCACUCGAAACUGCCGAGCUUGAGUUCUGGAGAGGAAGGCGGAAUUCUCGGUGUAGAGGUGAAAUUCGUAGAUAUCGAGAGGAACACCGGUGGCGAAGGCGGCCUUCUGGACAGCAACUGACGCUGAGACGCGAAAGCGUGGGGAGCAAACAGG
rnacentral:rRNA from 1 species